GACGAACGCUGGCGGCGUGCCUAAUACAUGCAAGUCGAACGCUUUUUCUUUCACCGGAGCUUGCUCCACCGAAAGAAAAAGAGUGGCGAACGGGUGAGUAUCACGUGGGUAACCUGCCCAUCAGAAGGGGAUAACACUUGGAAACAGGUGCUAAUACCGUAUAACACUAUUUUCCGCAUGGAAGAAAGUUGAAAGGCGCUUUUGCGUCACUGAUGGAUGGACCCGCGGUGCAUUAGCUAGUUGGUGAGGUAACGGCUCACCAAGGCAACGAUGCAUAGACGACCUGAGAGGGUGAUCGGCCACACUGGGACUGAGACACGGCCCAGACUCCUACGGGAGGCAGCAGUAGGGAAUCUUCGGCAAUGGACGAAAGUCUGACCGAGCAACGCCGCGUGAGUGAAGAAGGUUUUCGGAUCGUAAAGCUCUGUUGUUAGAGAAGAACAAGGAUGAGAGUAAAACGUUCAUCCCUUGACGGUAUCUAACCAGAAAGCCACGGCUAACUACGUGCCAGCAGCCGCGGUAA
rnacentral:rRNA from 1 species